rnacentral:rRNA from 1 species
UGGGGAAUAUUGCACAAUGGGCGAAAGCCUGAUGCAGCAACGCCGCGUGAGGGACGACGGCCUUCGGGUUGUAAACCUCUUUUAGCAAGGAAGAAGCGAAAGUGACGGUACUUGCAGAAAAAGCGCCGGCUAACUACGUGCCAGCAGCCGCGGUAAUACGUAGGGCGCAAGCGUUAUCCGGAAUUAUUGGGCGUAAAGAGCUCGUAGGCGGUUUGUCGCGUCUGCUGUGAAAACCCGAGGCUCAACCUCGGGCCUGCAGUGGGUACGGGCAGACUAGAGUGCGGUAGGGGAGAUUGGAACUCCUGGUGUAGCGGUGGAAUGCGCAGAUAUCAGGAAGAACACCGAUGGCGAAGGCAGAUCUCUGGGCCGUAACUGACGCUGAGGAGCGAAAGGGUGGGGAGCAAACAGGCUUAGAUACCCUGGUAGUCCACCCCGUAACGUUGGGAACUAGUUGUGGGUCCAUUCCACGGAUUCCGUGACGCAGCUAACGCAUUAAGUUCCCCGCCUGGGGAGUACGGCCGCAAGGCUAAAACUUGAAAUG